UACGUAGGUGGCAAGCGAUACUCGGAAUCACUAGGCGUAAAGCGCAGGUAGGCGGUUUGGUAAGUCUUUUGUGAAAGCUCCCGGCUCAACUGGGAGAGGUCAAAGGAAACUACUAGGCUAGAGUGUGGUAGGGGAUACUGGAAUUCCUGGUGUAGCGGUGAAAUGCGUGGAUAUCAGGAGGAAUACCUAUGGCGAAAGCAGGUAUCUGGGCCAUCACUGACGCUGAGCUGCGAAAGCUAGGGGAGCAAACAGG
rnacentral:rRNA from 1 species